rnacentral:rRNA from 1 species
UACGUAGGGGGCAAGCGUUGUCCGGAAUCAUUGGGCGUAAAGCGCGUGUAGGCGGCUGACUAAGUCCGCUCUGGAAAGCCCGGGGCUCAACCCCGGGAGGCGGGUGGAUACUGGUCAGCUCGAGUCCGGAAGAGGAGUGUGGAAUUCCUGGUGUAGCGGUGAAAUGCGCAGAUAUCAGGAGGAACACCAAUGGCGAAGGCAGCACUCUGGGACGGUACUGACGCUGAGACGCGAAAGCGUGGGGAGCAAACAGG